UCCAGCUCGUGUCUCACCUUCCCGAUAAAGCCCCCGUCGAACAUCACGGACACACCCCAGCCACAGGGAUGGCUCUGGAGCCUCUGGAACACCAACACUUCCCUCUCCUUCCCAGCUCUUGGAGAGGAAUCAGGAAGAGCGACAGGCGCCGCUGGAGCGCUGCAAGUCCUCAUCCAGGCAAUGAAAUGGCCCGUUCCCAAAAUACCCACAAGGAUCACACAUCCAGGGAAGGCAGCAGGUGCUCGACAGCGCUGGCGGGAUCCUGCUGCCUUCCAAAUCCUUUUUGGGAAUUCAGACAGCCUGCCGUGGCUCGGAACGUCUCCAUAUCCAUGUGGGAAUAACGGGCAGGUGCUGGAGGCUUUUCCAGCCGGAUUUGCUGCAGCACUCGUGGGGCUGUCCUGGACUUUGCUCUGGCGCCUGCAGCAGGAUGGAGAUGUUUGGAUAACAAGCGGAUGUGGCAGCGCUGGCCAUGGAUCAUCACCCCUGUGCCAUCGCCUUCCUGUGCUCCUCCACCCCUGGCUUGCCAUGAAUUCCUGACAUUCUUGGUUUUCCUGGAGUCCUUUGUGCAGCCAGAGUUUUUUGGGAUAUUCAGGCAGCGUUCAUCCCAUCUCCCUACCGAGCCUGAGCUGAUGGGUUCUGUGGGAUCUUCUGCCAUGUGCCAGGUUUUGGUGCCCACUGGAUAAGGAUUGGGCAUGGCCGUAUCUUGGCAUCACCCUGGGACCAUGGGAUCAUGUUUCCAGAUGGGAUCUUUUCCCGAGAUUUUUUUCCUCCGGGCUACUUCUGCCCACCCUCCUGCUGCCUUCAGAGGGAAAAUCCAGGCCUCUCCCAAGGCUUUGGAAGGAGGGUUCACCCCAAAAUGUGUCUUGGGAGGCAACUUGUCCGAGGUGGCUGCGUAAAGUUUCCCAGGUGUGGGAGAAAUCCAUGGAGCUGCUGGUGAGGGGAAUGGGUGCAACAGGAAUGUCUCUCUCCAGCCCUUUCCUGUCUGAAUUUCAGGCAAAUCCUUCAUUUUCUGUCUCUAUCUGAUUUUUCCUGAUCCCACUGACCUCAUCCCUGCCCUCACAGCCAUGAGAACCGAAAUUGCUCAUCAUCCAUCCGUCCAUCCAUCCGUCCAUCCAUCCAUCCAUCCAUCUGAUGCAAGAACUAUUUAUCCCUAAUUGUACAGUGACUUGGCCUUUCCAUCCUCCAAAAUAAACCCCGUAGAGGCACUUUGGGAACUCCUGAGGAGCCAGAGAGCUCGGCUAAUAGAGGUCACCGCUCAUUACGGAGCCGUGCUCCACAAAUUAUCCACCAUCAGG
rnacentral:lncRNA from 1 species